GACGAACGCUGGCGGCAUGCCUAACACAUGCCAGUCGAACGAGACCGUCGGGUCUAGUGGCGCACGGCGGCGGGACACGUGGGAACCUACACUUGGGUUAGGAAUAACUCACCGAAGGAGGUGCUAAUACCACAUAGUGUCUUAGGACCAAGGAUUUAUCGCUUUUGGAUGGGCGCGCGUUGGAUUAGCUAGUUGGUAGGGGAAUAGCCGACCAAGGCGACGAUCCUUAGCUGGUCUGAGAGGAGGCUCAGCCACACUGGGAAUGAGACACGGACCAGACUCGUACGGGAGGCAGCAGUGGGUAAUAUUGGACAAGGGGCGAUAGUCUGAUAAAGCAAUGCGGGGUGAGUGAUGAAGGCCGUAGGGUUGUAAUGUUCUUUUACACGGGAUGAUAAUGACAGUACCGGGAGAAGAAGCUCCGGCUAACUCCGUG
rnacentral:rRNA from 1 species